rnacentral:rRNA from 1 species
UACGUAGGCGGAAAAUUAAGUCAGUAGUGAAAUCCUGCAGCUUAACUGUAGAACUGUUAUUGAUACUGGUUUUCUUGAAUAUAGUUGAAGUAGGCGGAAUGUGUAAUGUAGCGGUGAAAUGCUUAGAUAUUACACAGAACACCGAUUGCGAAGGCAGCUUACUAAGCUAUGAUUGACGCUGAGGCACGAAAGCGUGGGGAGCGAACAGGAUUAGAUACCCUGGUAGUCC